GACGAACGCUGGCGGCGUGCUUAACACAUGCAAGUCGAACGGAAAGGCCCUGCUUUUGUGGGGUGCUCGAGUGGCGAACGGGUGAGUAACACGUGAGUAACCUGCCCUUGACUUUGGGAUAACUUCAGGAAACUGGGGCUAAUACCGGAUAGGAGCUCCUGCUGCAUGGUGGGGGUUGGAAAGUUUCGGCGGUUGGGGAUGGACUCGCGGCUUAUCAGCUUGUUGGUGGGGUAGUGGCUUACCAAGGCUUUGACGGGUAGCCGGCCGGGGAGGGUGACCGGCCACAUGGGGAGGGAGUUACGCCCAGGCCUCCUACGGGAGGGAGGAGGGGGGAAUAUUGAACAAUGGGGGGAGGCAUGAUGCAGAAAGCCCGGGGGCGGGAUGGGGGCCUUCGGGUGGUAAACCGCUUUCGCCGGGGAGGAAGGGUAGGGAAGGGAAAUGGGUAAGAAAGCCCGGGUAAAUACGGG
rnacentral:rRNA from 1 species